UGAGUACGAGAUGCUACGGCAUCGAAGCAGUCUAUGUCAUACUUCCAAGAAAAGCUUGCACUGUCAUAAACAAAGAAUGCCUGUACCAUAACCGACACAGGUGGGUAGGUAGAGUAUACUAAGGGGCGCGAGAUAACUCUCUCUAAGGAACUCGGCAAAAUGACUCCGUAACUUCGGGAGAAGGAGUGCCUUAUUUAUAAGGUUGCAAUAACAAGAUCCAAGCAACUGUUUACCAAAAACACAGGUCUCCGCGAAGUCGUAAGACGAUGUAUGGGGGCUGACGCCUGCCCAGUGCCAGAAGGUUAAAGAAGUUGGUUAGCAUUCGCGAAGCUGAUAACUGAAGCCCUGGUGAACGGCGGCCGUAACGAUAACGGUCCUAAGGUAGCGAAAUUCCUUGUCGGGUAAGUUCCGACCCGCACGAAAGGCGUAAUGAUUUGGAUACUGUCUCGGAGAGGGGCUCGGUGAAAUAGACUUGUCUGUGAAGAUGCGGACUACCUGCACCUGGACAGAAAGACCCUAUGAAGCUUUACUGUAACUUGAAAUUGAAAUUGGACUUUAUUUGCGCAGUAUAGGUGGGAGGCGUUGAGAAUAACCUUGCGGGGUUAUAGGAGCCAUCAGUGAGAUACCACUCUUGUAAUGUUAGAUUUCUAACUUUGUAUCAUUAUCUGGUCAAAGAACAGUUUCAGGCGGGCAGUUUGACUGGGGCGGUCGCCUCCCAAACGGUAACGGAGGCGCACAAAGGUUUCCUCUGAACGGGUAGAAAUCGUAUCUAGAGUGUAAAGGCAUAAGGAAGCUUGACUGUGAGACCUACAAGUCGAGCAGGGACGAAAGUCGGUCUUAGUGAUCUGACGGUGCUGAGUGGAAAGGCCGUCACUCAACGGAUAAAAGUUACUCUAAGGAUAACAGGCUGAUCUCCCCCAAGAGUUCACAUCGACGGGGAGGUUUGGCACCUCGAUGUCGGCUCAUCGCAUCCUGGGGCGGUAGUACGUCCCAAAGGUUGGGCUGUUCGCCCAUGAAAGCGGUACGCGAGCUGGGUUCAGAACGUCGUGAGACAGUUCGGUCCAUAUCCGGUGUAGGCGUUAGAAUAUUGAGAGGAGCCUUCUCUAGUACGAGAGGACCGAGAAGGACAUACCUCUGGUGUACCAGUUAUCGUGCCAACGGUAAACGCUGGGUAGCUAUGUGUGGAGUGGAUAACCGCUGAAAGCAUCUAAGUGGGAAGCCCACCUCAAGAUAAGUAUUCUC
rnacentral:rRNA from 1 species